GACGAACGCUGGCGGCGUGCUUAACACAUGCAAGUCGAACGAAGAGCGAUGGAAGCUUGCUUCUAUCAAUCUUAGUGGCGAACGGGUGAGUAACGCGUAAUCAACCUGCCCUUCAGAGGGGGACAACAGUUGGAAACGACUGCUAAUACCGCAUACGAUCUAAUCUCGGCAUCGAGGAUAGAUGAAAGGUGGCCUCUACAUGUAAGCUAUCACUGAAGGAGGGGAUUGCGUCUGAUUAGCUAGUUGGAGGGGUAACGGCCCACCAAGGCGAUGAUCAGUAGCCGGUCUGAGAGGAGGAACGGCCACAUUGGGACUGAGACACGGCCCAGACUCCUACGGGAGGCAGCAGUGGGGAAUCUUCCGCAAUGGACGAAAGUCUGACGGAGCAACGCCGCGUGAGCGAUGACGGCCUUCGGGUUGUAAAGCUCUGUUAAUCGGGACGAAAGGCCUUCUUGCGAAUAGUGAGAAGGAUUGACGGUACCGGAAUAGAAAGCCACGGCUAACUACGUG
rnacentral:rRNA from 1 species